GAGCUGCAGAGAUGAGUUGCCUAAAGUUUGUUCCAGAGAGGAGAGAGUGAAGAGACUGGCAAACCCAGAGGAGUAGGGAAGGCCAGGAGCGAUGUCAUAGUUUAGCAUUUGCAGCAUCACAGUCACUGCUGUAACGAUGAACCGUGUAGUCAAACACUGGAGUGUUGUGACAGACCAAUGGACCACAAAAGAUGAGACUCCAGGGCCAGAUUUUACUACACCAGAUCUCCAGGAACAGUGGGGUGGAGCAACAAGAAGCCCAGGAUGACCCGCUAUUUAUCAAAGCUGGUGUCUGUAAGGUGAUGAGUCACUCCUGUGCUGGGCUCCAACAAAUCCACAAGCCAGGAAUUGGUCUGGUGACUCCCAGGGCAGGCAUAUAAGUCCCAUGGGAGGAAAAGCAGCUUAAUCUACUGAAUGUCACUCCAGGGCUUAGAACUCUCUUCCGCCUAAUGGUGGUAACAGACGCCCCAAGCCUGUUCUCCAGCAGGCUCAGCUCAGCUCUUUAGGAAGAGAUCACUAGUAUCUAGGAUCUUUUACAGAGUCUGCCCCACCAGACAGGCAUUCCCUGUAGAAGCCCUUUUCUCCUCUCUCCCCUUCUCCUAGCUCUGUCUAGACUCAUUUCCCCAGCUGUGCCUGACAGCAGUCUCAUUCAGGGUAACCCAAGGCACAUGCAUUGUCGAUGUCUUGCCCUUUUAUUUCCCAAAAACUUCAGUAGCAGAAUUUUAAUUGUAUUCUAACUAAAAUGCCCCAAACUGUCACAUAACUAAAAUACAAAUAAGGCCUGGCCCAUUCCGUCAAUCUCCUUGCUCUCCAACGGGUGCCGGCAGAGAGCUUUGUUCCCAAUGGAUCCCCUCCCCAGCUGAAGUGUUUAAGCUCUGGGCCAGUCUUCUCCCAUUUCACCAAUGGGUGGCAAUAAAGAGCUCUUUAAUUUCUAAGGCUUCAGGCCACAUGGAUUCCGUAAAAUUAUCACAAACUCACAGAACGAAGUGGAAGAUCUAGAGUGGCAUAUUCAGAAAAAGAGAACAGAUUAAGUCAAUUUCUAUAUUUUCCACUGAUUCAUUUUAGUUCUUCUGGUAGAGUGUACAGGAGAAAACAUAUUUUACCAGAAGUGGAGAUUUGUCUAUACAUUCUGAUCUAAUUCAUGUCAUGUCAAAAGUUUAAUUCUAUUAGAUGUUAUUCAGGAUAACAAAAAAAUAUACUCCCUUUGGGUUUCUCCAUAAUUCACUGUAUCAUUGCAUGUAUAAAGAGUUGGUUGCAAUGUCCACUUUUCUGUUAAUUUUUUUAUUUAGUUCUUUGUUGAUUUUCAGAUCAGUUUUGGUAACUGUGCUUUGUAUAGCUUGUAUGAAGCAUUGAAAAAGAGACCUGUUCUGACAGCUAGUUGAUUUGGUUGUACAAUAGUGGUCAUCUCCCUUUAGCAGUUGGAAAGGUUUUGCUGCAUUCAAGCAAUGGUGAAGCCUUUGAAUUUGAUAUGAUUUGGUUUUUAAGAGAUAUUAAAAUUUGAUGAGGAAAAUGGACAUUAGUAAUUUGAAGUAUUGUAUGAAAUAAUUAAAGUAUCAUAGCAGCUUGAGAGAAAUAUUUUAAAUUGAAGGUGGCAUAGAUAAAAAGCAAAAAUAUAGAUACACAGGCCAAGAUGUUCAGAAGUAGUGUUUCUGAGUGUCUUAAAUUUGGAUAGCAAACUUAGAAGAACCUUAAAGGAACCUGAUUUUUCAGAUAGUGAUAAAGUGUCCACCCUCCAAGAAUCAAACCAUAUUAAGGUGGAUCAAGUUGGCCAUCUGAAAAAAAUGACUAAUCACUUUAAUAAAUCUUAGCCAUAUAACUUU